rnacentral:lncRNA from 1 species
CCUAUAUAAGUUGAAAACCAUUCCACCUACCAUCCUUAACUCACACGAACCUCAAGAAAAUAACUAUACAAUGCAGUCUGUGUUGAGAGGCUAAUGUAAUUAGAAGGAAGUAAGGGAUAGAAAGGGCUUAGCUAUGAAGACUUGUGUGUUCACCCAGACAUGGAACUGUCAGAGGGGUACAAACCUACUAAGUUUGAGUUGUAUAAUAGAAUUCU